rnacentral:rRNA from 1 species
GCGUAAUAGCUCACUGGUCGAGUGACUCUGCGCCGAAAAUGUAACGGGGCUAAACACACCACCGAAGCUAUGG